UACAGAGGGUGCAAGCGUUAAUCGGAAUUACUGGGCGUAAGGCGCGCGUAGGCGGUUGUGUAAGUUGGAUGUGAAAGCCCCGGGCUUAACCUGGGAAUGGCAUUCAAAACUGCACGGCUAGAGUAUUGGAGAGGAAGGUAGAAUUCCAGGUGUAGCGGUGAAAUGCGUAGAGAUCUGGAGGAAUACCGAUGGCGAAGGCAGCCUUCUGGCCAAAUACUGACGCUGAGGUGCGAAAGCAUGGGGAGCAAACAGG
rnacentral:rRNA from 1 species